UGUAUACACAGGUGUACCUGCACACCCAUACAAACAUUUUUUGAAAACCUCUGUCCUCAACUACAUGUCCCUAUCCAGCCUCGUCACUACAACACCGCUCGCCCUCCAGCUCUGCCAUGCUCUGUCCUGCCCUUAUCUUACAUCCUGGGGCCCUCAGAGACCUUGUGACCAGGAGGCUAACAUAUCCUCAGACAGGAUCAUCACCUGGGAGCUAUGCAGGCUUCAUAAAGCACACUCCUGACUUUGUAGUGAAAGUGGAAAAGGCUGUCUCAGCUAAAUUCUGAUUUGUUUUCAGAUUUUAUGAAGAAUUCCCAAUUAACCUGAAGACUGGGGAAGCCAAUCUCACCCAGCUCUACUUACAGGAAGCCCUGGACUUCAUCCAGACACAGCAUGCGAGACGGAGCCCCUUCUUCCUGUACUGGGCCAUCGAUGCCACUCACGCACCUGUUUAUGCCUCAAGACCUUUCUUGGGUACUAGCCAGCGAGGACGGUACGGGGAUGCUGUUCGGGAAAUUGAUGACAGUAUUGGGAAAAUCCUGAGCCUUCUGCAGAACCUGGGCAUUGGGGAGAACACAUUUGUCUUCUUCACAUCUGAUAAUGGUGCGGCCCUCAUUUCUGCUCCCAAAGAAGGCAAGUGUUGGCUCUUUUCCUCAGGCCCAAGGGUAGUGGCUGGAAGGCUCACAGACUGAGGCUUCCCAGGGUAGAGCAUCCAGCAGCAAG